GACGCUUCCGCCCGCCUUGGGCGGUAUCGGCCGCUCAGCGGUCGGAGGAAAUAGACGCGGGGCCUGAGGCUCUUGGACCUGAGCAAGCUUGCCGCCCUCUGUGAGCCUCAGCUUCUCGACGUGUAACAAGCGGCCAAUUGUAUGGGACUGUCAAGAAGCUGAAACGAGAUCCUGGCUGGAGGGUAUUUUAUGAACUACAUAUUCCUACACAAUUAUAAAGACUUAGUUAUUUGUCCUAUCCAUGGAUCACCUGGAAGAUUACAAUGUGAUUUAAAAUGCAUUCUGUCAUUCAACCGA